rnacentral:rRNA from 1 species
GAAGUGUGGACGCCAGUCUGCAUGGAGCCGACCUUGAAAUACCACCCUUUAAUGUUUGAUGUUCUAACGUUGACCCGUAAUCCGGGUUGCGGACAGUGUCUGGUGGGUAGUUUGACUGGGGCGGUCUCCUCCUAAAGAGUAACGGAGGAGCACGAAGGUUGGCUAAUCCUGGUCGGACAUCAGGAGGUUAGUGCAAUGGCAUAAGC